GGGUUGUGAGGUUAAGCGACUAAGCGUACACGGUGGAUGCCCUGGCAGUCAGAGGCGAUGAAGGACGUGCUAAUCUGCGAUAAGCGUCGGUAAGGUGAUAUGAACCGUUAUAACCGGCGAUUUCCGAAUGGGGAAACCCAGUGUGAUUCGUCACACUAUCAUUAACUGAAUCCAUAGGUUAAUGAGGCGAACCGGGGGAACUGAAACAUCUAAGUACCCCGAGGAAAAGAAAUCAACCGAGAUUCCCCCAGUAGCGGCGAGCGAACGGGGAGGAGCCCAGAGCCUGAAUCAGUGUGUGUGUUAGUGGAAGCGUCUGGAAAGGCGCGCGAUACAGGGUGACAGCCCCGUACACAAAAAUGCACAUGCUGUGAGCUCGAUGAGUAGGGCGGGACACGUGGUAUCCUGUCUGAAUAUGGGGGGACCAUCCUCCAAGGCUAAAUACUCCUGACUGACCGAUAGUGAACCAGUACCGUGAGGGAAAGGCGAAAAGAACCCCGGCGAGGGGAGUGAAAAAGAACCUGAAACCGUGUACGUACAAGCAGUGGGAGCACAGAGCAAUCUGUGUGACUGCGUACCUUUUGUAUAAUGGGUCAGCGACUUAUAUUCUGUAGCAAGGUUAACCGAAUAGGGGAGCCGAAGGGAAACCGAGUCUUAACUGGGCGUUAAGUUGCAGGGUAUAGACCCGAAACCCGGUGAUCUAGCCAUGGGCAGGUUGAAGGUUGGGUAACACUAACUGGAGGACCGAACCGACUAAUGUUGAAAAAUUAGCGGAUGACUUGUGGCUGGGGGUGAAAGGCCAAUCAAACCGGGAGAUAGCUGGUUCUCCCCGAAAGCUAUUUAGGUAGCGCCUCGUGAAUUCAUCUCCGGGGGUAGAGCACUGUUUCGGCAAGGGGGUCAUCCCGACUUACCAACCCGAUGCAAACUGCGAAUACCGGAGAAUGUUAUCACGGGAGACACACGGCGGGUGCUAACGUCCGUCGUGAAGAGGGAAACAACCCAGACCGCCAGCUAAGGUCCCAAAGUCAUGGUUAAGUGGGAAACGAUGUGGGAAGGCCCAGACAGCCAGGAUGUUGGCUUAGAAGCAGCCAUCAUUUAAAGAAAGCGUAAUAGCUCACUGGUCGAGUCGGCCUGCGCGGAAGAUGUAACGGGGCUAAACCAUGCACCGAAGCUGCGGCAGCGACGCUGAUGCGUUGUUGGGUAGGGGAGCGUUCUGUAAGCCUGCGAAGGUGUGCUGUGAGGCAUGCUGGAGGUAUCAGAAGUGCGAAUGCUGACAUAAGUAACGAUAAAGCGGGUGAAAAGCCCGCUCGCCGGAAGACCAAGGGUUCCUGUCCAACGUUAAUCGGGGCAGGGUGAGUCGACCCCUAAGGCGAGGCCGAAAGGCGUAGUCGAUGGGAAACAGGUUAAUAUUCCUGUACUUGGUGUUACUGCGAAGGGGGGACGGAGAAGGCUAUGUUGGCCGGGCGACGGUUGUCCCGGUUUAAGCGUGUAGGCUGGUUUUCCAGGCAAAUCCGGAAAAUCAAGGCUGAGGCGUGAUGACGAGGCACUACGGUGCUGAAGCAACAAAUGCCCUGCUUCCAGGAAAAGCCUCUAAGCAUCAGGUAACAUCAAAUCGUACCCCAAACCGACACAGGUGGUCAGGUAGAGAAUACCAAGGCGCUUGAGAGAACUCGGGUGAAGGAACUAGGCAAAAUGGUGCCGUAACUUCGGGAGAAGGCACGCUGAUAUGUAGGUGAAGCGACUUGCUCGUGGAGCUGAAAUCAGUCGAAGAUACCAGCUGGCUGCAACUGUUUAUUAAAAACACAGCACUGUGCAAACACGAAAGUGGACGUAUACGGUGUGACGCCUGCCCGGUGCCGGAAGGUUAAUUGAUGGGGUUAGCGCAAGCGAAGCUCUUGAUCGAAGCCCCGGUAAACGGCGGCCGUAACUAUAACGGUCCUAAGGUAGCGAAAUUCCUUGUCGGGUAAGUUCCGACCUGCACGAAUGGCGUAAUGAUGGCCAGGCUGUCUCCACCCGAGACUCAGUGAAAUUGAACUCGCUGUGAAGAUGCAGUGUACCCGCGGCAAGACGGAAAGACCCCGUGAACCUUUACUAUAGCUUGACACUGAACAUUGAGCCUUGAUGUGUAGGAUAGGUGGGAGGCUUUGAAGUGUGGACGCCAGUCUGCAUGGAGCCGACCUUGAAAUACCACCCUUUAAUGUUUGAUGUUCUAACGUUGACCCGUAAUCCGGGUUGCGGACAGUGUCUGGUGGGUAGUUUGACUGGGGCGGUCUCCUCCUAAAGAGUAACGGAGGAGCACGAAGGUUGGCUAAUCCUGGUCGGACAUCAGGAGGUUAGUGCAAUGGCAUAAGCCAGCUUGACUGCGAGCGUGACGGCGCGAGCAGGUGCGAAAGCAGGUCAUAGUGAUCCGGUGGUUCUGAAUGGAAGGGCCAUCGCUCAACGGAUAAAAGGUACUCCGGGGAUAACAGGCUGAUACCGCCCAAGAGUUCAUAUCGACGGCGGUGUUUGGCACCUCGAUGUCGGCUCAUCACAUCCUGGGGCUGAAGUAGGUCCCAAGGGUAUGGCUGUUCGCCAUUUAAAGUGGUACGCGAGCUGGGUUUAGAACGUCGUGAGACAGUUCGGUCCCUAUCUGCCGUGGGCGCUGGAGAAUUGAGGGGGGCUGCUCCUAGUACGAGAGGACCGGAGUGGACGCAUCACUGGUGUUCGGGUUGUCAUGCCAAUGGCACUGCCCGGUAGCUAAAUGCGGAAGAGAUAAGUGCUGAAAGCAUCUAAGCACGAAACUUGCCCCGAGAUGAGUUCUCCCUGACUCCUUGAGAGUCCUGAAGGAACGUUGAAGACGACGACGUUGAUAGGCCGGGUGUGUAAGCGCAGCGAUGCGUUGAGCUAACCGGUACUAAUGAACCGUGAGGCUUAACCUUACAACGCCGAAG
rnacentral:rRNA from 1 species